rfam:Salmo salar isolate Sally breed double haploid chromosome ssa28, whole genome shotgun sequence.
CCUAAUUUCUCAUGUAAGUCGCUCUGGAUAAGAGUGUCUGCUAAAUGACUAAAA